rnacentral:rRNA from 1 species
UACGGAGGAUUCAAGCGUUAUCCGGAUUUAUUGGGUUUAAAGGGAGCGUAGGCGGGUUGUUAAGUCAGUUGUGAAAGUUUGCGGCUCAACCGUAAAAUUGCAGUUGAUACUGGCAUCCUUGAGUACAGUAGAGGCAGGCGGAAUUCCUAGUGUAGCGGUGAAAUGCGUAGAUAUUAGGAGGAACACCAGUGGCGAAGGCGGCUUACUGGACUGUAACUGACGUUGAGGCUCGAAAGCGUGGGGAGCAAACAGG